rnacentral:rRNA from 1 species
UACGUAGGGGGCAAGCGUUGUUCGGAAUUACUGGGCGUAAAGCGCGCGUAGGCGGUCUGGCAAGUCAGAUGUGAAAGCCCCGGGCUCAACUUGGGAACUGCAUUUGAUACUGCCAAGCUAGAGUACAGAAGAGGUGACUGGAAUUCCCAGUGUAGCGGUGAAAUGCGUAGAUAUCUGGAGGAACACCGGUGGCGAAGGCGGCGUCCUGGACCAACACUGACACUGAUGAGCGAAAGCCAGGGGAGCAAACGGG